GAGUUUGAUCGUGGCUCAGGAUGAACGCUGGCGGCGUGCCUAAUACAUGCAAGUCGAGCGAACGGACGAGAAGCUUGCUUCUCUGAUGUUAGCGGCGGACGGGUGAGUAACACGUGGAUAACCUACCUAUAAGACUGGGAUAACUUCGGGAAACCGGAGCUAAUACCGGAUGAUAUUUUGAACCGCAUGGUUCAAAAGUGAAAGACGGUCUUGCUGUCACUUAUAGAUGGAUCCGCGCUGCAUUAGCUAGUUGGUAAGGUAACGGCUUACCAAGGCAACGACGCAUAGCCGACCUGAGAGGGUGAUCGGCCACACUGGAACUGAGACACGGUCCAGACUCCUACGGGAGGCAGCAGUAGGGAAUCUUCCGCAAUGGGCGAAAGCCUGACGGAGCAACGCCGCGUGAGUGAUGAAGGUCUUCGGAUCGUAAAACUCUGUUAUUAGGGAAGAACAUAUGUGUAAGUAACUGUGCACAUCUUGACGGUACCUAAUCAGAAAGCCACGGCUAACUACGUCG
rnacentral:rRNA from 1 species